UUAAAGCUAUUAUUUAACUAACGUUUUGAAAACGUUAUUUUAGAGUUGUUACUCUUUAGCUUUUAA
rnacentral:tRNA from 1 species